UUAAGCGACUAAGCGUACACGGUGGAUGCCCUGGCAGUCAGAGGCGAUGAAGGACGUGCUAAUCUGCGAAAAGCGCCGGCGAGGUGAUAUGAACCCUUGACCCGGCGAUGUCCGAAUGGGGAAACCCAGUGCAAUCCGUUGCACUAUCGUUAACUGAAUACAUAGGUUAACGAGGCGAACCGGGGGAACUGAAACAUCUAAGUACCCCGAGGAAAAGAAAUCAACCGAGAUUCCCCCAGUAGCGGCGAGCGAACGGGGAGCAGCCCGGAGUCUGAAUCAGCUUGUGUGUUAGUGGAACGGUCUGGAAAGUCCGACGGUACAGGGUGAUAGUCCCGUACACGAAAGCACACUUGCUGUGAACUCGAAGAGUAGGGCGGGACACGUGGUAUCCUGUCUGAAUAUGGGGGGACCAUCCUCCAAGGCUAAAUACUCCUGACUGACCGAUAGUGAACCAGUACCGUGAGGGAAAGGCGAAAAGAACCCCGGCGAGGGGAGUGAAAAAGAACCUGAAACCGUGUACGUACAAGCAGUGGGAGCCUCUUUAUGGGGUGACUGCGUACCUUUUGUAUAAUGGGUCAGCGACUUAUAUUCUGUAGCAAGGUUAACCGUAUAGGGGAGCCGAAGGGAAACCGAGUCUUAACUGGGCGUUAAGUUGCAGGGUAUAGACCCGAAACCCGGUGAUCUAGCCAUGGGCAGGUUGAAGGUUGGGUAACACUAACUGGAGGACCGAACCGACUAAUGUUGAAAAAUUAGCGGAUGACCUGUGGCUGGGGGUGAAAGGCCAAUCAAACCGGGAGAUAGCUGGUUCUCCCCGAAAGCUAUUUAGGUAGCGCCUCGUGAACUCAUCUUCGGGGGUAGAGCACUGUUUCGGCUAGGGGGCCAUCCCGGCUUACCAACCCGAUGCAAACUACGAAUACCGAAGAAUGUUAUCACGGGAGACACACGGCGGGUGCUAACGUCCGUCGUGAAGAGGGAAACAACCCAGACCGCCAGCUAAGGUCCCAAAGUCAUGGUUAAGUGGGAAACGAUGUGGGAAGGCACAGACAGCCAGGAUGUUGGCUUAGAAGCAGCCAUCAUUUAAAGAAAGCGUAAUAGCUCACUGGUCGAGUCGGCCUGCGCGGAAGAUGUAACGGGGCUAAACCAUGCACCGAAGCUGCGGCAGCGACACUAUGUGUUGUUGGGUAGGGGAGCGUUCUGUAAGCCGUUGAAGGUGUGCUGUGAGGCAUGCUGGAGGUAUCAGAAGUGCGAAUGCUGACAUAAGUAACGAUAAAGCGGGUGAAAAGCCCGCUCGCCGGAAGACCAAGGGUUCCUGUCCAACGUUAAUCGGGGCAGGGUGAGUCGACCCCUAAGGCGAGGCCGAAAGGCGUAGUCGAUGGGAAACAGGUUAAUAUUCCUGUACUUGGUGUUACUGCGAAGGGGGGACGGAGAAGGCUAUGUCAGCCGGGCGACGGUUGUCCCGGUUUAAGCAUGUAGGCGGAGGUUCCAGGUAAAUCCGGUACCUUUUAACGCUGAGGUGUGAUGACGAGGCACUACGGUGCUGAAGUGAUAAAUGCCCUGCUUCCAGGAAAAGCCUCUAAGCAUCAGGUAACACGAAAUCGUACCCCAAACCGACACAGGUGGUCAGGUAGAGAAUACCAAGGCGCUUGAGAGAACUCGGGUGAAGGAACUAGGCAAAAUGGUGCCGUAACUUCGGGAGAAGGCACGCUGAUGUGUAGGUGAAGCCCCUGCGGGCGGAGCUGAAAUCAGUCGAAGAUACCAGCUGGCUGCAACUGUUUAUUAAAAACACAGCACUGUGCAAACACGAAAGUGGACGUAUACGGUGUGACGCCUGCCCGGUGCCGGAAGGUUAAUUGAUGGGGUUAGCUGUAAGGCGAAGCUCUUGAUCGAAGCCCCGGUAAACGGCGGCCGUAACUAUAACGGUCCUAAGGUAGCGAAAUUCCUUGUCGGGUAAGUUCCGACCUGCACGAAUGGCGUAAUGAUGGCCAGGCUGUCUCCACCCGAGACUCAGUGAAAUUGAACUCGCUGUGAAGAUGCAGUGUACCCGCGGCAAGACGGAAAGACCCCGUGAACCUUUACUAUAGCUUGACACUGAACACUGGUCCUUGAUGUGUAGGAUAGGUGGGAGGCUUUGAAGCGUGGACGCCAGUCUGCGUGGAGCCAACCUUGAAAUACCACCCUUUAAUGGCUGGUGUUCUAACGUAGACCCGUAAUCCGGGUUGCGGACAGUGUCUGGUGGGUAGUUUGACUGGGGCGGUCUCCUCCCAAAGAGUAACGGAGGAGCACGAAGGUUGGCUAAUCCUGGUCGGACAUCAGGAGGUUAGUGCAAUGGCAUAAGCCAGCUUGACUGCGAGCGUGACGGCGCGAGCAGGUGCGAAAGCAGGUCAUAGUGAUCCGGUGGUUCUGAAUGGAAGGGCCAUCGCUCAACGGAUAAAAGGUACUCCGGGGAUAACAGGCUGAUACCGCCCAAGAGUUCAUAUCGACGGCGGUGUUUGGCACCUCGAUGUCGGCUCAUCACAUCCUGGGGCUGAAGUAGGUCCCAAGGGUAUGGCUGUUCGCCAUUUAAAGUGGUACGCGAGCUGGGUUUAGAACGUCGUGAGACAGUUCGGUCCCUAUCUGCCGUGGGCGCUGGAGAAUUGAGGGGGGCUGCUCCUAGUACGAGAGGACCGGAGUGGACGCAUCACUGGUGUUCGGGUUGUCAUGCCAAUGGCACUGCCCGGUAGCUAAAUGCGGAAGAGAUAAGUGCUGAAAGCAUCUAAGCACGAAACUUGCCCCGAGAUGAGUUCUCCCUGAGACUUUAAGUCUCCUGAAGGAACGUUGAAGACGACGACGUUGAUAGGUCGGGUGUGUAAGCGCAGCGAUGCGUUGAGCUAACCGAUACUAAUGAACCGUGAGGCUUAACCUU
rnacentral:rRNA from 1 species